GCUGGCGUAGUUUAAUGGUAGAACAACUGAUUUGUAACCAGUUAAUGGGAGUUCAAUUCUCUCCGUCAGCUCCA
rnacentral:tRNA from 1 species